rnacentral:rRNA from 1 species
CGAACGAAGCACUUUAACCUGAUUCUUCGGAUGAGGGUUUUUGUGACUGAGUGGCGGACGGGUGAGUAACGCGUGGGUAACCUGCCUCAUACAGGGGGAUAACAGUUAGAAAUGACUGCUAAUACCGCAUAAGACCACAGAGCCGCAUGGCUCGGUGGGAAAAACUCCGGUGGUAUGAGAUGGACCCGCGUCUGAUUAGGUAGUUGGUGGGGUAACGGCCUACCAAGCCAACGAUCAGUAGCCGACCUGAGAGGGUGACCGGCCACAUUGGGACUGAGACACGGCCCAAACUCCUACGGGAGGCAGCAGUGGGGAAUAUUGCACAAUGGGGGAAACCCUGAUGCAGCGACGCCGCGUGAGCGAAGAAGUAUUUCGGUAUGUAAAGCUCUAUCAGCAGGGAAGAAAAUGACGGUACCUGACUAAGAAGCACCGGCUAAAUACGUGCCAGCAGCCGCGGUAAUACGUAUGGUGCAAGCGUUAUCCGGAUUUACUGGGUGUAAAGGGAGCGUAGACGGCUGUGUAAGUCUGAAGUGAAAGCCCGGGGCUCAACCCCGGGACUGCUUUGGAAACUAUGCAGCUAGAGUGUCGGAGAGGUAAGUGGAAUUCCCAGUGUAGCGGUGAAAUGCGUAGAUAUUGGGAGGAACACCAGUGGCGAAGGCGGCUUACUGGACGAUGACUGACGUUG